UAAUAUCCAUAAGGGUAUUUUUAUGCACAGUGCAUAAGGUGAUGACAGCCAUCCGAUCAUGAUUAUAGUGAUGACACGUGUAUUGAUCUGAAGGUCUCACCUCUGACCCUGAGUCACACAGGAUCACAGUCUCAAGCUCUCUCAAGGUCUCAACAUCGCGAUUCUCUCUGAAUCUCGCCGUCGUCUUCUCCCUUCGUAAUCGGUGGUGUACGGUGGAUUCUCGACGGUGGUCCUCGCUUUUCUUUCUUGUUCUGUUCUUCUUUUUAGUUAUGAGUAGUUUGAUAAAAAGGGUGGCGGCGAUGGUUGUAAUAUGAGGAAGAUGAAGUACUCGUAGGUGUAUCAAGAUCAAGAUCAAUUUCCGUUCAAUUCCUCUCAUUCUCUUCAAUUUCAUAUACAUGUUGUAUCAGGAUCAAGAUCUAGGUUUUGGAGUUGGCUGGAAAUGCUGCAAGGGACAACAAGAAAAGUAGAACUUUGCUAAGUCAUAUUAUUCAAUUGGCUGUUAGGAAUGAUGAAUAAUUGAGCAAGCUUCUUGGUGAUGUUACCAUUGCUAAUGGUGGUGUUAUGCCUAAUAUUCAUAACUUGUUGCUUCCAAAGAAUACUGGUCCUUCCUCUAAAGCUGCUGCUGAGGAUGAAUAAACGAAUGAAUGAAUUGUUACUUGAAACUUGAUUUUGCAGAUGGGGUUAACAAAUUUAUUUUCAAUUUUUUGUAUAUGGGUUUAGUUUUAGAGGUUCAUGACUUUGAUCUUUAGCUAUGUUAGUGGUUCUGUUAGUUACAGUAUCCGCUCAUCUCUCGAAUGAUCAAACGCUUGGUAUUUUCAGAAUCUCAUCACAUCCACCACUUUAAGCUCUGCAAAUCUCUUGGUAAAUUAAUUCUUAGUUGUAUGUGUUGGAAAUUGAUUUGUUGUAUUAUCUGGUCUACACACUGUAUGGCUGAAAAAGUGUAUAUGGUGCAUCCGAGAUGACGGCGGACUGUUUAGGCGUGCAGGAACAUAUUGGAUAAGUAGUGCUUACUCAAUUCUUGAAGCAGAGGCCCUAGUUCUUUUAGAGGCCCUAGUUUUUUUACUGUAAUAACAGCAAAACAGUGUGGCAAGCUGCUGGACUCGAUGUGAUGAUUUCGGCGCGGUUUCAACACUACAAUGCGCCAAAAGAUGUUAUUAUGAAUAUUUGUCAUUAUGAGGGCAAACAUAUACAGCUGGGAAAUUCGCUAUGCUAGUGUGGGUCUUGUGGAAUAAUAGAAACAAUUGGGUUUGGAAUAAUGUGAAAGAUUCGGGGCAACAACUAUGCGGUAAAGCGAUGCAUUUGUGGAAUGAAUGGGACGCGGUUCAGCAAAUUCGCGACAGGAACAACAGCAGACCGCAAGUACAUUAGCAUAAUACACAGUGGAAACAACCAAAAUUUGGAUGGCUCAAGUGCAAUGUUGAUGAAAACAUGUUAAUAAGAAAUACUGGUGCUAUCAAGUUAUGGUUUAAGCUCAUCAUUGGUUCAAAUUAUGAAUGUCACAAGAGUUUCUGUUUAUCCAUUAUGUGUAUUAUGCUGUCAAAGUAUUCCCAAAGGGCAGCUACUCAUAUGCCUUGCAAUCCUUGGGAGAAGUUUGGUGUCUCAUUGCUGUUUUUACCUUGUUUAAUUGUUUUGGAUUGGAUGCAUGAAGUGAUUAUGUUAUAUAACAACCAUUUAGUAUAAAUUUUGUUGUUGAGCGUCAAAAUGUUUGAAAGAGAUAGUCUCAUUUAUUGAAUUGCAAAAUACUAACAAAGAA